rnacentral:rRNA from 1 species
CCUACGGGGGGCAGCAGUAGGGAAUCUUCCACAAUGGGCGAAAGCCUGAUGGAGCAACGCCGCGUGGGUGAAGAAGUAUUUCGGUAUGUAAAGCUCUAUCAGCAGGGAAGAUAAUGACGGUACCUGACUAAGAAGCCCCGGCUAACUACGUGCCAGCAGCCGCGGUAAUACGUAGGGGGCAAGCGUUAUCCGGAUUUACUGGGUGUAAAGGGAGCGUAGACGGCGUGCCAAGUCUGAUGUGAAAGGCCGGGGCUCAACCCCGGGACUGCAUUGGAAACUGGCAUGCUGGAGUGCCGGAGGGGCAA